GAUGAACGCUGGCGGCGUGCCUAAUACAUGCAAGUAGAACGCUGAAGGCGGCUUUUGCUCUUCUGGAUGAGUUGCGCACGGGUGAAUAACGCGUAGAUAACCUGCCUGGUCGGGGGGGAAAACUAUUGUAAACGAUAGCUACUACCGCAUGACAACAGUUAUUGCAUGAUAACUGUUUAAAAGGGGCAAAUGCUCCACUACCGGAUGGGGCUGCGUUGUAUGAGCUAGUUGGUGAGGGAACGGCUCACCAAGGCGACGAUACAUAGCCGACCGGAGCGGGGGAUCGGCCACACUGGGACUGGGGCACGGCCCAGACUCCUGCGGGAGGCAGCAGUAGGGAAUCUUCGGCAAUGGACGGAAGUCUGACCGAGCAACGCCGCGUGAGUGAAGAAGGAUUUCGGAUCGUAAAGCUCUGUUGUAAGAGGAGAACGAGUGUGAGAGUGGAAAGUUCACGCUGUGACGGUAGCUUACCAGAAAGCGACGGCUAACUACGUG
rnacentral:rRNA from 1 species